rnacentral:lncRNA from 1 species
UUAGAAGCAGAAACCUUAACAGCCACCCACAGUGUUAAUGAGUCAAUAUUAAGUAUCACAAAUAUACAUAAAGAUGGACACUUUGCUACUAAAUUUAUCUCCCAAACUUCAUGGAAACAGAGAUUGUUCACCUAGAGAUCCUAGACAAAAGAUGUACAAAUCUGCAACUUUCACCGAGUAGUCUAUUGAACACAAUGAGGAACAUAGAGCUACUAAGUUAUAUUAAUAUAAA